UAUAAAAGAGUGUUCACAUUAUUCUUUUUUCACAAAUCGUUCAUUUUAUAAUUUGUAAAGUACCUACGAAACAUUUAUACAUUUACAAUGAAACGUACAAUUAUAAUUUCUUUAAUUCUUACUACAGUAUUUGUCCACACAGCAUACGGUAAAUAUAUAAAUUAUGUAUUUAUAAAAUAAAAUGAAUAAGGGCUAAUACAGGAAGUAUUUCGUAUGCAAUCACAAAAUUGAAAAAAGUGCGUAUGGAAUAUUAAUGUACGGUAUCGUAUUUGCUCAACCUUAAGAUAAUAAUAAUAAUAAAAUACUAUACUAUACUAUAAAAUAAUUAAUACUGAGGAAACGGGUGCAGAUGUUGUUAAAGGUAGAUGAUUGAAAAGGUAGAGUACAUACAAUUAUUUAAUUUAUGCUAGUAUGCAACAGAAAACUAUUGAUAAUGAAAAAUGUUUCGAAACGAAGUUCUGUUAUAAAUGUUUUUAAAGGCAAUAAUAUUAAAUCUAUUUGUUAAAAUUUUAUAUUAACUCUUAUUAAAACUAAUUAAUUACUAUUUUACACCAAUUUUUUUUUUUUUUUUUUUUCUAAAAACUUAGUAAAAAUUUAAUUGGAUCUCUGUCAAAUAUUCAAUCAUUUCUAUUAGUCUAUUAACCUAUUUCACUAACUACCUGCCAAAUAAAAAUUACGUAAGAAUCCGGCAAUAAUUAUAACGUCUAUAUCUACAAAAAUUGAUCACAAAUAGCUCAAAUAUUUUGACAAUUUAAGACAUCUAGAAAAAACAAAUAUUGAAUUUCUGUAAAUAUUUUGAGUUUCUGCAAAUAUUUUUAAUUGAAUAACAUUUUAAAAACGAAAUUUCAAAUGAUAAAAUAUAUAUUAUUAUGAAUUUUCUCGUACUUUUAAAUAAUAAAAUUUUUAGGUCAUAAUUUUAAAAAAAAAAAAAUCGUAUUUCUUGUUUUUUUGGUUUCCCCGGUUAUUAUGAAAACUACUUUGGAUACCAAAAAAAGGCUUUCUCUGCUAGUGGCUAUAUACUAAACGAAACAACAUUGAUUUCUUACAACUUUUUGGACGGAGUAAUAUUUCUGGUAAAAAACAUGGUGAACAUAAAUUUAAAACCGUGAAAGCGAUGACGCCGUGGCAUGUCGUAAAUAUUUGCCGUUAUACUAAUAAUUUAUUUUCUGAUUUUUCCCAUAUAUUUUGAAAAUCAUUUAGAUAUUUAAAAUAAGACCGCUCAAAUGUAGCAACUGGAAAACAUUAUUUUUCAGAAAAAUUUAUAAACGAUACUUCAAAGCAAGUGUUCUGGUAGAAAAAUUAAACAUACACACAAAAAAUCAUAGAAAAACCAAUAGAUACCCUCACUAUUCCUCAUAUCUAAAAUAAAAUAUUCUAAUCUUUAAAUAUUAAUUUUUUCAACAGUUGUUUUUAGUUUUUAUGUAUAGUUGUAUAUAUUUUGACUUAAUAAUUGAAAUUUAGGUAAUAGAAUAUAACAGGAUUUUAAAUCUUAUACGCGUUCGUUUAGUAAUAUACUAACUAUGAAUAUGUCUUCGCCUUUGACACACGCGUAUGGGGGCUUGGAUCGUCUUUCGGAAUGUCUGUGACGGGUCAGGUUAUAGUUGACUAUGCAGUUAUACUACAAAUACAACAAGAAAACGAAAAACUUAACUAAGCUUGUGACCCAAUUACAAGUGUGCAAUGCACAACUACAGAGUGAAUUAUUACAUUUCCAAGUAAGUAAUAUUAAUGAUCCUAAUAAAAAUAUCGAAUACAAUAC